CGCGACUGGAGCGAAUUAAAGACGCGGAACAUCAAAAAAAAAAAAAAUCCAAGAUGUCCACGACAAUCAGUAAGGAAAUACAAAAGUCGCGGCUGUAAGGCAGUCGCUCGGAGCUACAUGGAGGCUGACAGGAAUCCAGAUGAUGAGGUGAGUUUCGUCUCCGCGACCUUUACGUGUAGGAGACGGCUGUCCGCCAGAAGUCGCUUUUCCAGCUUCACCCAAAGCCGCUUCGAUGAUGCUUUCACUGUCUCACCCAGAGUGUGUGUUUGUGAUGAUCCCCAUGUUCCGCCCUAAUGUAUCCUUCCUUGCUCAAUACGGAUCCACCUUGACUAAAUACAGCAAGUGUGUGUGCAUCCCGCUGUAAAUGAUGUUUUAAAUCCCGUUUCCCAAAUAUACAAAAGGUGUUUGCACCAUUACGUGACGAGACUUCGAACACCGGUAGUGUUUUGGGUCCCCCUGCUGGAAAUCCCACAUAUCGUCUUUAAUAAACAUGAACUCUAAACAGAUUUUGGUCUCUUCCUAAUGCUGUCGACAUUGGUUAUAUGUCAAAAUGUAGAGUUUAAGGAUGUUUAAUGCAUUUCUUGUUCCAUAGAGUUAUUUUGUGGUUCUUAUUCUUGUAUUUAUAUGUGACUUAGUGUCAACCUGCCAAUGGGACGAGAUACUUAAAUUAGCCUCUGGGCUAUAAUGUCAUGUAUUUACAUGUAAAUGAUCAUUAAAAUGUACUGCCCCAUUUUGAAAACAUAAAAUAAAUUUGAACCUCUGAAACAC